CAGGGCCCACAGAAGUAAAAAAAAUUGCCCAAGCCAUUUCCUUGCCGCGACGGAUCCAGAAACUCCUCCUCCCGUUCCCCAAUCCUCUUUCUCUCCACUGGCGUAGUGAUACGAGGAUGCAAAUUGACCUCUCUUCUUCCAGAUCUUGCCUCCCUAGCCAGUCUCUUGCUCCGAUCUGGUGGCAUCUGAAGGAGACGGAGUUGGGGCAGGGCACGCCACGCCACGCGGAGGACGUCGGCGGUGCUGGAGAAUAGCGAUGGCGCAGGAGCGAAGAACAUCGCGCAGCGCCAUGGGGGAGUUGGGGCAGGGCACGCCACGCGGAGGACGUCGGCGGCGCGGGAGAGGUUGGCGAUGGCACUGGAGAACAUCGGCGCAGCGCCAUGGGGAUGUGGACUCGAAGGCUGCAAUUGAUGCAUGCGCCCGGGCGUGACGGUACCCAGAUCAUAUGCACGGGUGGUUGUGAGACGAGGCAAGCAGCAGCUAGAGCAGAUGACUUUGGUGCAUCGAUUUACUAGGCAAUAUCACAGGUAUUAAAUUUCUUUCUUGCUAUACAUAUUUCUCUGAUGUCCCGAGACAGUAAAGUUAGCAUGGAUAAAGCAAGGAUUAAUCUAGAGUAUAUUGGUAGUUAAAAAGAACAAUAUGUUUGGAUCUUGACACAACAAAACAUGGCAUGCUUGAGAUUUUAAACCUGAUACAUAUCAAAUGAUACAGACCGACAAUUAUAUAGAGUGCAUACAGAGCAGUACAUAUUUCUUAAAGAAAAACUAAAUUACUCUAGUCUUGACCCCUCCAAAGCGCUGAAAUAUAUGCUCAACCAAAUCCGCUUUAAGACGACGAUGCAUAUCUCUAUCCCUGAUAUCUUCUUCUAUCUCUAGAGCCCUGGAAAACCCAUGAAUUGGCCCAUGUCCAUAAUUUAACAAUGGUGUGGAGUUACCUUCAUCAUAGUCUUCCUCAUAGUCAUCAUUGUACCGAACUUUGAAAGUAUCUCUUUCAUCCUCUACAAUCGUGUUGUGUAAUAUAAUACAUGCGUACAUGAUCUCAGCAAAUGAUUCCACUUGCCACAUACGUGCUGGGCUGCGUAGUAUUUGUCGGGUACCAUAAUUAGGGGCACCCUAACCCAGGGACUAAAUCGCCCUAAAAAACGCAAAACACGGAUUGGGCAAUCAGGCCCACAGUGCCUACCGCCGUGUCAGACUCUACAGUCACAACGAACCAAGGCCAACAGUCCUCCUCCGAUCCGAAGGGAAAGAAGGACUACUCGACGGUGAUCCUGGAGAGGAAGAAGCCACCAACAACGACAACUCAGUCGUCGCUCUGCACCCGGAUAUCUUGGAGCUCCUCCAGCUCUCCCACAGCGCCCAGAUCCUCUCCAAGUCCCAAGGAAGCCCGAUCCGUACACGGCCCACGGCCUAGCUCCACGGUACGGCCCAUUCGAGGCCGCACUCGAACCCGCGGAACCAUCUCCGCCUCGCUCGAGGACACCCCGCCGAGGCCUCCAGCAACGCGCUCCAUCACCGCCUCGCUUGAGGGACCCUCGAGCCGAGCCCUCCGCGGGGCCUCGGCUCGAGGGGAAACUCCGCCUCGCUCGAGGCCACCCUCGGCAGUUGGAACUAGCAACCCAUCUGCUCACCUACCCGAUUGACAGAGGCAUUAAAUGCCAACCACUCCGCCGCGAAGCGUGGGAGUCAGACAGUGUCAGGCCGCCGUGUCGCACGGCGGGUGUGACCGGAGUCCCGUCUGCCAACUCCGUCACUGUGCCGCCAUCCCCGACACUGUUCCGACCCUGUGGGAACCUGCGACGCCCUGUGCAGACGUGCCCCGCACUGCUCUCGCCACUGUGCUACCAACUCCCCGUACUUCCUCUUCCACGCAACCCUCGGCCAGCAUGGGUGCAACCCUCGAACGGUGUACGGACCUUGACCGGGGCGAGACCCCGUCAGCUGAACCCUCGGCGCUCCGCCAGCUCAAGCAUGGAGGACGGUACUUUCUACAGCAACCGCCACACCGCCCACAGGAGUCAUCGGGACGCCGGCGCGAUCCCCGCGAAGCUACAGAGCUUCUCAGGGCGACUGUCCCGCCCGACGCCAUACCCCACAGUGUACUUUCCAUAGUGCGCAUCCACUGCACACCCCCGAUUCGGGGAGAAGACGACGACUUCCGCGAUCUCCCCGUACAUGUACUCCGCCCCUCCUUGUGUCUAUAAAAGGAGGAGGCGGGCUCCUUCUUCCUUACGCAACCAGAGACGCUCUCAUCCCACACUCACCUAGCCAUCCGCUCACUCCCUUUCGAUAUUGGCACUUGCCUCAAUCACUUAGCAGAGACUUGGGAGCCUUCCUCCCUCUCUCGCCUCGCUUGUAUUCCCCUACUACAUGCACUCCGGUGCAAUAUAAUACAGUGCACUCGCACACCCCUGCUGGACGUACGGCCCCGUUGCCGGAACCAGGAUAAACCCUUGCGUAACUGUGUUACCUCUUGCAUCAACCAUCUAGGGUUGGGAUCAUGCAGCAUCUUCACUAGUUGGUGCUGGACCGCCGGGUCUGGACACUGACAGUAUUGCAAAGCAAGCUUGCAGCACACCAAAUGCACGCUCCACAUCUUUUCUUGCUCCCUCUUGCCUUUUUGCAAACAGUUUGUCUUUGUUGCAUUGAGGCAAAUGUAUUGUUUUUACAAAUGUUGCCCAUUCCGGAUAAAUACCAUUAGCUAGGUAGUAUCCCAUAUUGUAUUCAUUGCCAUUGACUGUAAAUUGAAUCUCUGGAGCUCUCCCUUGUACUACUUCAGUGAACAGAGGGGAUCUAUUCAGGACAUUGAUGUCAUUGUUUGACCCGGCAACACCGAAAAAUGCAUGCCAUAUCCAAAGGUCAUGUGAGGCAACAGCUUCCAACAUAACAGUGGGUCCAGCCUGAUCUCCACGAGUAUAUUGCCCCUUCCAUGCCACUGGACAGUUUCUCUAUUGCCAAUGCAUGCAAUCUACACUUCCUAACAUGCCUGGAAAACCACGAGCUGAGCCUAUAUGAAAUAACCUUUGGAUGUCUUGUCUAGUUGGUUUUCUUAGGUAUGUAGGACCAAAACACGACACCUCUACAAAAGGUAUUCAUGCACUCAAUAAUUGUGGUUUCAGCAAUUCGUAGAUUUUCAUUCCACAUAUCCGCAGGUGUUCCAUACGCUAACAUACGCAUGGCAACAGUGCAUUUGUGCAAGGGUGAAAAGCCCACCUUCCCAAAUGCAUCGUUCCUUUGGCAAAAAUAAGGAGACCAAGAACUAAGAGUCUGCACAAUGUGUAGAAAUAGAUGCCGCUUCAUCCUUUACCUCCGUCGAAACUGGAAAUCAUUGUAUACUGGAUUUUCUACAAAGUAAUCAGACAUCAAUCGAUCCCUAGCAGCUCCACGAUCUCUUUCUAUAUGUCUUCUACGAAACCUUCGGUACUGAGUAGACGUACCUCUCUGUUCUGCCUCAAUCUGAGCUCUGAUUUGUGUCUCAAUCUGAGCCUCAAUUGGGUCAUUCAUGAAGUCCCGAAAGAAUUGCUCAACUUCAGCAUCACUAUCAGAUUCUUCAGGGAUUUGCAGGGGCAUAUUUGUUUCCAUGGCCUUCUUUAUGGAGAAAUUGUUUACUGGCUGGUAGAGUAGGAAGCUCUCUACUGAUUUGAAUGAGCUGGGGUGGGUAUGGUGGCCUGAAGGGUCCUCCUUUUUAUAGAGGGAGCUCACAACGGCUAGUUUUUUUUUUCAACAGCUACAUUGUCAGAACAGUCUCUUUUAUUAUUAAAUGCUAACUUUACAACAGCUACAUUGUCAGAACAGUCUCUUUUAUUAUUAAAUGCUAACUACUAUGUGCCCUGAUGUAUAUUUUGUUUUCUGUAUAGGUCACUUUGAGAUAUGGGUAAAUAAUCAAGGCACGAUAUCUCAUUGAUGCAUAUAGAACCAACAGGUUAAUACAUUGAUACAUAAUCUGAUUUGCAGAGGUAGUACAAGUGAACCAGUCAAAGAAAAAAAGAAAUCAUUUCAACUAAAAAGUUGCUUAGCUAAGUAAGCCAAUAUUUUCUCAUGCGUAGCCUUGCUAGCUUCAUCAUAACUCGUAGUGUCUUUAUCUACCAGCAUCAAAUACUUGUCCAUUAUCUGUAACUUUGUCUUCUUCUCCUCAGUAUCUGCCAUCUUAUUUUUAGCUUCAGCUUAUGUUUGUGCAGCUUGUGCCUUGGUAAGUGUUGCUUCGGCCAUUUUCUCAGCAGCAAUAGCUUUCCUCAGCUGAAGUUUAUUGAACAGGUUUAUAUUUUCAUUUGAAAUGGUGUCUUCUGAAUGUACUGACUUGCCUUUUGCCUUUUGUUGUGCUUUCAAUGCAUUUCUCCCUGGUGGUCGUUGCCUUGCUGCAGGGUUUGCAUCUUCACUGUCUUGAUUUGAAGAACUAUAAGCUCCUGAUGCAUUCAGCUUAUCUCUUGUUGACCAUUUCUUCAAUUGGGUGCAUGCAAGUUGUACUCUGCUGCAACAUCCUUCCAGUACCUAUCUCCCCUUCUAUCAACUCCUUUAAUUGGAUCAUUGGAACACUUCAACCAAGAACUAGCUAACCGAAGUGUUAGUAGGAUCUACCUGGUGAAGAUGUUGUUGGGACACCGGAGAAGCUGAACCAACCGGGCUACUCUCAUCAGCUCGCGAAUCACUGCCUCUACUACCUUGGAAGAAAGCCAUGGAUCCAACUGGUGAUGCUUGGCUGCCUCCUUGUGUCUGUUGACUCAAGCCCUGGUGAGGACCUUGAUAGCUUCCUUGUACGAAUGGGUAUUGUGGGUAGCUGCUGCUGGAUUGACCUCCAAAACGACUGCAUGUGUGGAUACUGAGGGUUGAAAUUGGGAGGAAAUUGUGUUGGUGGAUAGUUCAUUGGGUAUUGGGUUGCAGGGAAAUGAUAUUGUUGACUAGGUGGAUUUUGUGGAUCACCACUUGUGAUUGCAGCGUUCAGUAAAUUUGUCAAAGAUGAAGAAGUGUUCUCCAUGGCUACAAUAGUAAAUCAACAAGUGUGUAUAUUCAUGUUACUGGCACCCGUGUAUAUAUAGAGCACAUGGCCUCGAUGAGCCAACGGUAACAUUUUGUUUGUGACCGUUGAAAUUUGGACGUUGGGUUGGCUGUGUGAGAGUGAAAUCAGAUUUCAACUACCUGCACUCUGCUACAGUACUUUUAUUAUUGUUUAUGAAGAUGGCAUCUAUGCAA